rnacentral:rRNA from 1 species
UACGAAGGGGGCUAGCGUUGCUCGGAAUCACUGGGCGUAAAGGGUGCGUAGGCGGGUUUUUAAGUCAGGGGGGAAAUCCUGGAGCUCAACUCCAGAACUGCCUUUGAUACUGUAGAUCUUGAGUCCGGGAGAGGUGAGUGGAACUGCGAGUGUAGAGGUGAAAUUCGUAGAUAUUCGCAAGAACACCAGUGGCGAAGGCGGCUCACUGGCCCGGUACUGACGCUGAGGCACGAAAGCGUGGGGAGCAAACAGG